GGUUCUUUAUUCCAUGACGGCGGCAAGCCUGCGACCGUCGAAACGCGAGUGGGAUUUUUCUCUUGCGUCCGUUGCGCCUGUGAUACCCGACAACUGUAGCAGCAUGUCAUCUGAUCCGACUUCAACUGAAGGCUCGCCGACUGAUGCGGAAGCAGUUUACCUCGUUUCGCACGGGCCACCAAAGAAAAUUGUGAAGUUCACAGGCGCCCGGAAGCUCGCCGACCUUCACGAAAGUGUGCGGAUGGGUGGGUUCGCGCACCUGAUGACAUGCAAUGAUCUCCUAAUACAGCAUGCUGGAAGCUGCACAGAGGAGUUGGCAAGGGGGCACAAGGAAGCAAUGCCCCGUUGCUGUCCGUAGGGUGAACGCAAGGCGGCUCGUGGCGGCCGCAAUUUCUACGCUGCGCUUUUCAUCUCUGAAGCCAUGCGCAGCAGCGUGCAGUCGUCAUGUUCAGCAAAGCAGUGCAAAGGUACCCGAAUAAGCUGUACAACAUUGCUGCAAGGUGCCUUGGUGAACCAGUACCCAGCCCUGAGGAACAGAUUGGACUCUGGCUAUAUGCAAAAGGCGUGAGCGCCAUCAUGGUUCUACCAUUUCUUGUCAAUGAGCGAGGG
rnacentral:lncRNA from 1 species